CAGCAGCCACGGUAAUACGUAGGGUGCAAGCGUUAAUCGGAAUUACUGGGCGUAAAGCGUGCGCAGGCGGUUAUAUAAGACAGAUGUGAAAUCCCCGGGCUCAACCUGGGAACUGCAUUUGUGACUGUAUAGCUAGAGUACGGCAGAGGGGGAUGGAAUUCCUCGUGUAGCAGUGAAAUGCGUAGAUAUGCGGAGGAACACCGAUGGCGAAGGCAAUCCCCUGGGCCUGUACUGACGCUCAUGCACGAAAGCGUGGGGAGCAAACAGGAUUAGAUACCCCCGUAGUCCCUGUCUCUUAUAC
rnacentral:rRNA from 1 species